GGAGCAGACGUUACGUAAAGGUUUUAGAGAGCUCUGCGCUAUUUUAUGUGGUUUCAUCUUUAUGUUUUUAUACUUUCGGUCUGAAAGUGUGUUGUCGGAAGAAAUAAGACACUGCAUUGGAGAUGUGGUCGGAGCAUGAAAGAUGACAAAGGAAGUAAAUCCGUGGACUCCUGGUGGAAGAAACGGCCUGGACUCUGCUUUAACAUAGUGAUGUAUAAGUGGGCAUUUGCGGUGCUCAAAUAGAAUGUGAA